GACGAACGCUGGCGGCGUGCUUAACACAUGCAAGUCGAACGGAAAGGCCCUGCUUUUGUGGGGUGCUCGAGUGGCGAACGGGUGAGUAACACGUGAGUAACCUGCCCUUGACUUUGGGAUAACUUCAGGAAACUGGGGCUUAUACCGGAUAGGAGCUCCUGCUGCAUGGUGGGGGUUGGAAGGUUUCGGCGGUUGGGGAUGGACUCGCGGCUUAUCAGCUUGUUGGUGGGGUAGUGGCUUACCAAGGCUUUGACGGGUAGCCGGCCUGAGAGGGUGACCGGCCACAUUGGGACUGAGAUACGGCCCAGACUCCUACGGGAGGCAGCAGUGGGGAAUAUUGCACAAUGGGCGGAAGCCUGAUGCAGCAACGCCGCGUGCGGGAUGACGGCCUUCGGGUUGUAAACCGCUUUCGCCUGUGACGAAGCGUGAGUGACGGUAAUGGGUAAAGAAGCACCGGCUAACUACGUG
rnacentral:rRNA from 1 species